rnacentral:rRNA from 1 species
AGUGAACGCUGGCGGUAGGCCUAACACAUGCAAGUCGAACGGCAGCACAGUAAGAGCUUGCUCUUACGGGUGGCGAGUGGCGGACGGGUGAGGAAUACAUCGGAAUCUACUUUUUCGUGGGGGAUAACGUAGGGAAACUUACGCUAAUACCGCAUACGACCUACGGGUGAAAGCAGGGGAUCUUCGGACCUUGCGCGAUUGAAUGAGCCGAUGUCGGAUUAGCUAGUUGGCGGGGUAAAGGCCCACCAAGGCGACGAUCCGUAGCUGGUCUGAGAGGAUGAUCAGCCACACUGGAACUGAGACACGGUCCAGACUCCUACGGGAGGCAGCAGUGGGGAAUAUUAGACAAUGGGCGCAAGCCUGAUCCAGCCAUACCGCGUGGGUGAAGAAGGCCUUCGGGUUGUAAAGCCCUUUUGUUGGGAAAGAAAAGCAGCAGGUUAAUACCCCGCUGUUCUGACGGUACCCAAAGAAUAAGCACCGGCUAACUUCGCG